UUAACUUUCACCGUUUUUUCAUGAUGGUAUUAUUAGAUUGAGAGACAGUGUGUGUUAUAUAUAUGUUUCUUUACAGGCCCUGAAUGGAUCAGAUCAGGAAGCACAAAAUUCUGCUGCUGCUGAUGUUAAAGAGACGUCUUCAUCAGUGAUCAAGAGUUCCGUUACAACACGGAACAAACCUCCUGAUGAUGAGGAGAAGAAUAAGUACCAGACAAGUCUCUCUGCAGCUUCAG